rnacentral:rRNA from 1 species
AUGAUCGCACUUCUCCCAAAGAAAAACGGAGCAUCGGAGAUUGGUCACUAUCGACCGAUAAGCCUGAUUCAUUCCAUAGGAAAAUUAUUGGCAAAAGUCCUAGCCCUACGUUUAGCUGGGGUUCUCCGGGAUAUUGUGUCGCCAGCUCAAAGUGUGUUUCAGAGGAAGAAAAGCAUUCAGGAUUCCUUUCUGGACGUACAGAACUAUGUCCGCUCCCUGCACCACAACAAAAAACCAGCGCUCCUGAUCAAGAUCGACAUAGCUAGGGCCUUCGACUCGGUAGCAUGGGAUUAUCUGUUAGAGCUUCUUCAAAGGUUAGGUUUUAGCGCUCGAUGGUGUGACUGGAUUGCCAUUCUCCGGUCCUCGUCCUCGUCGUCAUGCCUCCUAAACGGAGUGCCUGGG